rnacentral:misc_RNA from 1 species
GCGACUGCAAGCAUUUAAGAUGGAAGAGAACGUGACGACAUUUGGUUUGAUCUCCAGCUCACGCAUCUUUUGAAAGACACCCAAAAUGCACAAUAAUUCCUGCCUGCCACAGUUAUUUUCUUGACUUGCCUUCUCAGCAGCAAGCUUCCCAAAAAUCUUUAUGAUCCUAUCAUCCUCCCUAUCAGUCACCCUACUUUCAGUAGCUUCCUGAACAACACUUGAAGAUGAAGACUUAACUUGAAAUUCACUGGCUUCACCAGCAUCAUCAACCACGUGCUGUGUGAUUGCUGACAAGCCAAAAGCAUCAAUUAUAGAAUUAUAAGUGACAACAUUAGGCCUAAUUCCCUCUUUAGUCAUCUCAUCAAGUAAAGUCACAGAAGAUUCCACUAAUCCAUUCUUGCACAGAGCAUCUAUAAGUGCAGUAUAAAGAACAACAUCAGCCUUCAAUCCUGCCUUCUCAAACUCCCUAAAAAUCUCCAUUGCUUCCUCAUACAGACCACCUUUUGAGUAAACAUCAAUCAAGGUUGAAUAAGUUAGCAAGUUAGGUGAUAUGCAUGCCUCUUUCAUCUCCUUAAACACUUCCCUCACCUCAUCAUACAUGCGUUGUUUUCCAUACCCACCCAAAAGCGCAUUGUAAGUCGCAACAUCUUUCCUAAUACCAGAAUUCUCCAUCUCCUUACAAACAUCCCAAGCCUCCUCAAACCUUCCAAGCAUGGCAAAAGCAGAAACCAAAGUAUUAUAUGAAAUUAAAUCCAAACUAAGCCCCAAAAACUUCAUUUUGUUGAACAGAUUAAGAGCUUCAUCUAAUCUACCAGCUUUACCGUAUCCACGAACCAUGGUACUGUAAGUAACAACAUUAGGCAAUACAUUCUUACCAGGCAUCUCAGAUAUGAUCUCAAGAGCCGCGUCCAUUUGCCCUGCUUUACAGAAUGCAUCCACAAUUGUAUUAUAAGUGAAUAUAUCUAGGUCAAUCCCUCUAUUUAUCAAUUCAGUAAACAAAUUCCUUGCUGCCUCCCAUUGCCCUCCCCUACUACACACGGAAAGCAGCGAAUUAAAUGUAAUUAGGUCUGGUUGCACUCCAUUUUUAAACAUCUCAUCAAAAAUCUCCACUGCCUUCUUAAACUCCACACCCCCUAUGGCACACGCAUCAAUCACAGCAUUGUAAGAGACUAAAUUUGGCUUUAGCCCAUAAGCCUCCAUUGAAUAAAAAACCUUAAAAGCAUCAUUCCAAUAACCACUUUUCCCAUAAGCACUAAUUAAAGCAGAAAAAGUAUAAACAGUGUUACCAUAUCCCUCUCUAAGAGCAGUCUCAAAUACAGCCUCUGCAAGCUCCACUUUACCUAAUCUACCAAGAGUACUAAUCAUGGCACUAGCUAAUUUUCCUUGCUCGUUCUUCCUCUUUUCCCUUCUCAUUGCAAACUCGAAGCAUCGGAUCGCUUUAGAAGAGUCUCCUCUGUCUCCAAGCUUUCGAAGCAAGAAAGUAUAAUCAUCGGAGCUACAGAGCCGAGACUCGAAAUUAAGCAACACAUUCUCAAGGGUCUGAUCAUCUUUCCCAUACAGGACCACGUGCUGCAAAGCUUCCUCCGCGACUAAGGUAUGGCGGAUACUCAGAGUGGAUUUUGGGCGCCCAAUGUGUAGCUUGGACACGAAUCGUCGGCGACCCGAAAAAUCGGCGGCGAGCUGAGAUUUUUGUGAUUGAAGAGUGGCGAGAGAAGGGAAGGGUUGGUUCUGGGCAUUAGUAGUGGCGGCGGUGGAAGCACCUGGUUUUGGUGCAUUGUGGGGGGAGGAAGGGAGAGGGGGUUUAGCAAGAGAAACAUUGUGAUUGGUCCAACGUCGGCAGCGUUUCUGGUGGUUCUGAUUACGCUUGUUUGCAGUAAUUGAGCAGUGUGGUGGCGUUGACGCCAUUCAAUUUCUUGAUAAAGAAACAGACUUCACAGAUAAAUAUGAUCAAUGUGGAAGUUAGAGAAAGAAGCUGCACCUGCAAAUGGUGCUGAGGAGGUUUUGCUAGGGUUUGGGCGAAGAAGGAAGCGCCACUGCUUUGGAUAUAGCAGAGAUUAGAGAGAGAAAGAUUCUUGGAUAACUCAGCUGUGCUGCGUUGAGCUUUUGGGUUUAGAUAUUGGAAUUUUCGCAACCUUUUUU